GGUAUCGCCAAGCGGUAAGGCAUCAGACUUUGACUCUGAUAUUCGUAGGUUCGAAUCCUGCUACCC
rnacentral:tRNA from 1 species